ensembl:snoRNA
GAAGCUGAUUUUGAAACUUAAAAGAAAUCACCAGACACCAUUCAAAAGCCAUCUUCCCUUUAGAAUGACUGCUGGGAUGCUAAGGUUUUUCAUAGCAUAUCAUUAUUAAAGGUGAUACAAAU